rnacentral:rRNA from 1 species
AGAGUUUGAUCCUGGCUCAGGAUGAACGCUAGCGGGAGGCUUAACACAUGCAAGUCGAGCGGGAUUGGCAGCAAUGCCAUGAGAGCGGCGCACGGGUGCGUAACGCGUAUGCAACCUGCCUUAUGCAGGGGGAUAGCCCAUGGAAACGUGGAUUAAUACCCCAUAGUAUAUCUGAGUCGCAUGAUUUAGAUAUUAAAACUGAGGUGGCAUAAGAUGGGCAUGCGUAGGAUUAGCUAGUUGGUGAGGUAACGGCUCACCAAGGCGACGAUCCUUAGGGGUUCUGAGAGGAUUACCCCCCACACUGGAACUGAGACACGGUCCAGACUCCUACGGGAGGCAGCAGUGAGGAAUAUUGGUCAAUGGUCGGAAGACUGAACCAGCCAUCCCGCGUGCAGGAAGACGGCCCUAUGGGUUGUAAACUGCUUUUCUGUUAGAAGAACAGGCUUUACGAGUUAGAGUCAUGACAGUAUAACAGGAAUAAGCAUCGGCUAACUCCGUGCCAGCAGCCGCGGUAAUACGGAGGAUGCGAGCGUUAUCCGGAUUCAUUGGGUUUAGAGGGUGCGCAGGCGGGUUUGUAAGUCAGUGGUGAAAUGCUGCCGCUUAACGGUAGAAUUGCCAUUGAUACUGCUAAUCUUGAGUAUGGUUGAGGUAGGCGGAAUGUGUUGUGUAGCGGUGAAAUGCAUAGAUAUGACACAGAACGCCGAUUGCGAAGGCAGCUUACUAAGCCAUUACUGACGCUGAGGCACGAAAGCGUGGGGAUCAAACAGGAUUAGAUACCCUGGUAGUCCACGCUGUAAACGAUGUUCACUCGCUGUUUGCGAUACACAGUAAGCGGCUAAGCGAAAGCAUUAAGUGAACCACCUGGGGAGUACGAUCGCAAGGUUGAAACUCAAAGGAAUUGACGGGGGCCCGCACAAGCGGAGGAACAUGUGGUUUAAUUCGAUGAUACGCGAGGAACCUUACCUGGGCUUAAAUGUAGA